GUGUAGGUGGCCUCGGGGUCGUCCUCCAGCACGCGGGACAGGCCGAAGUCGGACACCUUGCAGACCAGGUUGCUGUUGACCAGGAUGUUGCGGGCGGCCAGGUCGCGGUGGACGUAGUUCAUGUUGGCCAGGCACAGGCCCUCAGCUCCCAUGUGGCCCUGAGCCACCAGGGCACCCCCCGCACCCCGGCUCAGCAUCCUCGCCCGCCACUGCCCACGUCCUUACCCGGAGGAACUUGUCAAGGGCCCCGUUCUCCAUGUACUCCGUGAUGAUCAUCAUGGGUUUGUCUGCGGGGUGUGGGCACAGGGGUGAGAGGCAGGUAGGCCAGAUGUGUGGGCCAGGUGGGCACGGCUAGGGUCAGGUGGCCCUGAGGCAGUCCCUCUGCCCCCACCCUGUGUCAGGCCCCUAGGGUCCCCCAAGUCUCACAUUUAGAGACCACGCCCUCCAGACGGAUGAUGUUGUGGUGGCUGAACUGGCCCAUGAUGCUGGCCUCGCUCAGGAAGUCCACGCGCUGCUUCUCUGUGUAGCCUGCCUUCAGGGUCUUGAUGGCCACGGGCACCUCUUUCUUCCCCGAGGACGCCUUCAGGGUCCCCUUGUACACCUCCCCAAACUCUCCUGUGGGUGGGCAAGGUAGGGGACCUCCUGGUCAGCCUGGGCGCCAAAUGGCCCCACCCGAAUCACCCAUUGCCCGCCUCCCCUGGUGACAGGUGUGCCAGCUGACCUGCUCCGAUCACCUUCUGCCGGGUGACACAGGACGGGUGGAUCUCGGUGGUGAACUUGAGCACAGCCUGAUUGGGGUCUUCAUAUGUGUGAGGGUCCACGUACGUCUUCAGGGGCUUCAGCUGUUCUGGAAGGGGAGAGAAGGGGCGGGGUCACAGAACGCCCGGGAGGCCAAGUCCCUAAAGGAGAAGGGAGAAGCCACGUGACCAGGGACCUGGGGGACAGGCCUUCUGGAAGAGGCCUGAGAGCUGCCGGAUGAUGCCUCUGUGCCCACCCAGAGCCCUGGGACGUUCUGGCUGCCCUCAGCUCUGCACAGAGCUGAGGGGGUGUCCUGGGGAGGGGACAGGCCGGCACGGGGUGGGCUGCAUCUCACCUGACUUGGAGAAGUAGACGUCCUCUGAGGACUGGCGAGCGCGCAGACUCCUCCUCCUGAAAGAACCCACAGGGACCCAGAUACACAAGGUCAGAGAGGCCUGCCCGGGCCGGGGGAGCCCCCUGCGGGCACUGGGCGUGGGGAACCGGAGGAAAUGAGCCAGUCGGGACUCACACUUUGGGAUCCACGCCCCAUAAUGGCCCCAUAAGUGGCCAUAACAAGGGCUUCUCUCAUCAGGGCUGCCAGGCCUCCUGCAGGGCGGCUACCCACCAUGUCCUGAGCCCCUGUGGUGCCAGGCACCUGCCUGGCGUGUCUGGCUCGGCACACCUUCACGUCACCCAGGAGCUGGGGACUGCAAGGCACUGGACUAGAUUAGCCUCAGCCCCACUCCUCAGAGGAGGAAACUGAGGUUCCUGCCCUGAAUCCUCCCCCAGCCUUCGGGGACCUGGGUGUGGGCUCUGACCAACCUGCGGUGGAUGAAGAAGCCGAUUCCUGCCAGCACCAGAAGCAAGAAGACGCCAACAGCCACACCGCUGAUCACUGCCAUGUUGCUAGAACCUUCUGUGGCUGCAGGAAAGACCAGCUGAUGACAGGGGGCCCCCCCACCCAAAUCAUGCAAACUCCCCUGCUGCACCCAAGACCACCGCAGGCACCUAGGACACCCGGGGUCUCUAUGUGCUGGCCGCAAGAGUAAUCCUGAGGCCCUUGAGGACAUGUUCUUCCCUCCCAUGGACAGCCAGCUCGGGGCCUCCCCGGGGCCUCAUGGCAGGGACUCCCCUGCAUGGGGACUCAGCUCUGGCUCCGUCCGUGGUGCACAAUCUGAACUCAGGUCUCCAACGCCAGAGCCCACAGCCUGAAUGCACCUCCCUGGUCCUCUACGCCCCAACCUCAAUUUUGCCCUCUCCCACCGGGAGACAGCCCAUGCAGGGCUGUCCCAGGCUCCAGCUGACCAGGAGACACGAGUUUCUCGCCUCUUGGAUCCACCCCCACCCCAUGUCCCGAUGGCUCGGUUUCAGAGCCUUAGUCUGGCAUGUGCCUGGGGCCCCCGACUCACACAGCGUCUGGAACUCAUGCACCUUGCUACCAGCACCCUGGCCCUCCUGCGUCAGCGCCUGCACCUGGACCAGGUAGAUGGUGUCAGGAACCAGGUCAUCCAGGGUCACAGAGAAGCCCUCAGUGCGGCGCACGUUGUAGCUGUUGGAGUCCCCCUGUGGGUGGCAGGGAGCAGGCAAUGAGGCCACUGCAGGACCUCUGCUCAGCACCCCGAGACACCGUCCAGCCGGCUGAUCCUGGAGGCCUUCCCUCCCUGACCGCUGCUUCCAGGAUCUAGAGCACGUCUACACAUCUCUGCUGAGCCGCCCUGGGAGACCCCAGACCUGCUUCCCAGCUGCAGAGGGGAGUCCCUCCAGAUGGUGUGGGUGUGGACAUCUACGUGACCAGCCCACCCCGUCCUAGCGCGGACCCUCAGUGGGUUACCUUCUUGCGGUAGGUGACCUCGUACUUCCACACUCGGCUCUGCUGUGGCGGGGGGAUGCUCCAGGUGACGCUGAGUGACGUGGUGCUGCGGCCCUCCAGCCUCACCUUGGGGGGCUCUGGGCAGGCAGAGAGUGGGGAAGGGUGUGAGGAGCCACCGGGGGACAGGGGACAGAGAACCAGCGGGCCCAGGACCAGGUGCCCCCAAAGCCCAGGCUCCCAGACCCCCAGGCCCCACCCCAGGGGCUGGCACAGAAGUGCCCUCUGAGUAUUUAGUACACAAAUAAUAAAAAUUAAAUAAUUGUUGUGAACCAA